GACGAACGCUGGCGGCGUGCUUAACACAUGCAAGUCGAACGGAAAGGCCCUUCGGGGUACUCGAGUGGCGAACGGGUGAGUAACACGUGGGUGAUCUGCCCUGCACUUUGGGAUAAGCCUGGGAAACUGGGUCUAAUACCGAAUAGGACCACGCGCUUCAUGGUGUGUGGUGGAAAGCUUUUGCGGUGUGGGAUGGGCCCGCGGCCUAUCAGCUUGUUGGUGGGGUAAUGGCCUACCAAGGCGACGACGGGUAGCCGGCCUGAGAGGGUGACCGGCCACACUGGGACUGAGAUACGGCCCAGACUCCUACGGGAGGCAGCAGUGGGGAAUAUUGCACAAUGGGCGCAAGCCUGAUGCAGCGACGCCGCGUGAGGGAUGACGGCCUUCGGGUUGUAAACCUCUUUCAAUAGGGACGAAGCGCAAGUGACGGUACCUAUAGAAGAAGCACCGGCCAACUACGUGCCAGCAGCCGCGGUAAUACGUAGGGUGCGAGCGUUGUCCGGAAUUACUGGGCGUAAAGAGCUCGUAAGUGGUUUGUCGCGUUGUUCGUGAAAACUCACAGCUUAACUGUGGGCGUGCGGGCGAUACGGGCAGACUAGAGUACUGCAGGGGAGACUGGAAUUCCUGGUGUAGCGGUGGAAUGCGCAGAUAUCAGGAGGAACACCGGUGGCGAAGGCGGGUCUCUGGGCAGUAACUGACGCUGAGGAGCGAAAGCGUGGGGAGCGAACAGGAUUAGAUACCCUGGUAGUCCACGCCGUAAACGGUGGGUACUAGGUGUGGGUUCCUUCCUUGGGAUCCGUGCCGUAGCUAACGCAUUAAGUACCCCGCCUGGGGAGUACGGCCGCAAGGCUAAAACUCAAAGGAAUUGACGGGGGCCCGCACAAGCGGCGGAGCAUGUGGAUUAAUUCGAUGCAACGCGAAGAACCUUACCUGGGUUUGACAUGCACAGGACGCCGGCAGAGAUGUCGGUUCCCUUGUGGCCUGUGUGCAGGUGGUGCAUGGCUGUCGUCAGCUCGUGUCGUGAGAUGUUGGGUUAAGUCCCGCAACGAGCGCAACCCUUGUCCUAUGUUGCCAGCGGGUUAUGCCGGGGACUCGUAGGAGACUGCCGGGGUCAACUCGGAGGAAGGUGGGGAUGACGUCAAGUCAUCAUGCCCCUUAUGUCCAGGGCUUCACACAUGCUACAAUGGCCGGUACAAAGGGCUGCGAUGCCGUGAGGUGGAGCGAAUCCUUUCAAAGCCGGUCUCAGUUCGGAUCGGGGUCUGCAACUCGACCCCGUGAAGUCGGAGUCGCUAGUAAUCGCAGAUCAGCAACGCUGCGGUGAAUACGUUCCCGGGCCU
rnacentral:rRNA from 1 species